rnacentral:tRNA from 1 species
GGUGGUAUAGCUCAGUGGUGGAGUGCAUGCUUAGCAUGCAUGAGGUUCUGGGUUCAAUCCCCAGUAUCUCCA